rnacentral:rRNA from 1 species
UACGGAGGAUGCAAGCGUUAUCCGGAAUUAUUGGGCGUAAAGCGUCCGCAGGUGGUCAAUCAAGUCUGCUGUCAAAGAGUGUGGCUUAACCACAUCAAGGCAGUGGAAACUGAAGGACUAGAGUGCUCAAGGGGUAGAGGGAAUUCUCGGUGUAGCGGUGAAAUGCGUAGAGAUCGGGAAGAACAUCGGUGGCGAAAGCGCUCUACUGGAGAGCAACUGACACUCAGGGACGAAAGCUAGGGGAGCGAAUGGG